GAUGAACGCUGGCGGCGUGCUUAACACAUGCAAGUCGAACGAUGAACCUCACUUGUGGGGGGAUUAGUGGCGAACGGGUGAGUAACACGUGAGUAACCUGCCCUUGACUCUGGGAUAAGCCUGGGAAACCGGGUCUAAUACUGGAUACGACCUUCUGGCGCAUGCCAUGUUGGUGGAAAGCUUUUGUGGUUUUGGAUGGACUCGCGGCCUAUCAGCUUGUUGGUGGGGUAAUGGCCUACCAAGGCGACGACGGGUAGCCGGCCUGAGAGGGUGACCGGCCACACUGGGACUGAGACACGGCCCAGACUCCUACGGGAGGCAGCAGUGGGGAAUAUUGCACAAUGGGCGCAAGCCUGAUGCAGCGACGCCGCGUGAGGGAUGAAGGCCUUCGGGUUGUAAACCUCUUUCAGUAGGGAAGAAGCCGGCUUUUGGGUUGGUGACGGUACCUGCAGAAGAAGCGCCGGCUAACUACGUG
rnacentral:rRNA from 1 species